rnacentral:rRNA from 1 species
AAUGGAGGAAACUCUGAUGCAGCGAUGCCGCGUGAGUGAAGAAGGCCCUUGGGUUGUAAAGCUCUUUCGUCGGGGAAGAAAAUGACUGUACCCGAAUAAGAAGGUCCGGCUAACUUCGUGCCAGCAGCCGCGGUAAUACGAAGGGACCUAGCGUAGUUCGGAAUUACUGGGCUUAAAGAGCUCGUAGGUGGUUGAAAAAGUUGGUGGUGAAAUCCCAGAGCUUAACUCUGGAACUGCCAUCAAAACUUUUCAGCUAGAGUUUGAUAGAGGAAAGCAGAAUUUCUAGUGUAGAGGUGAAAUUCGUAGAUAUUAGAAAGAAUACCAAUUGCGAAGGCAGCUUUCUGGAUCAUUACUGACACUGAGGAACGAAAGCAUGGGUAGCGAAGAGGAUU